UGGGGAAUAUUGGACAAUGGGGGCAACCCUGAUCCAGCAAUGCCGCGUGAGUGAUGAAGGCCUUAGGGUUGUAAAGCUCUUUUACCAGGGACGAUGAUGACGGUACCUGGAGAAUAAGCCCCGGCUAACUUCGUGCCAGCAGCCGCGGUAAUACGAAGGGGGCUAGCGUUGUUCGGAAUUACUGGGCGUAAAGGGCGCGUAGGCGGCCGCUCAAGUCAGAUGUGAAAGUCCUGGGCUCAACCUGGGGACUGCAUUUGAUACUGAAUGGCUUGAAUCCGGGAGAGGAUGGCGGAAUUCCCAGUGUAGAGGUGAAAUUCGUAGAUAUUGGGAAGAACACCAGUGGCGAAGGCGGCCAUCUGGACCGUGAUUGACGCUGAGGCGCGAAAGCGUGGGGAGCAAACAGG
rnacentral:rRNA from 1 species